UGGUCUUGACAUACAGAGAACUUUCUAGAGAUAGAUUGGUGCCUUCGGGAACUCUGAUACAGGUGCUGCAUGGCUGUCGUCAGCUCGUGUCGUGAGAUGUUGGGUUAAGUCCCGUAACGAGCGCAACCCUUAUCCUUAUUUGCCAGCACUUCGGGUGGGAACUAUAAGGAGACUGCCGGUGAUAAACCGGAGGAAGGCGGGGACGACGUCAAGUCAUCAUGGCCCUUACGACCAGGGCUACACACGUGCUACAAUGGGAAGGACAAAGGGUCGCUAAGCCGCGAGGUGGUGCUAAUCUCAUAAACCUUUUCGUAGUCCGGAUCGGAGUCUGCAACUCGACUCCGUGAAGUCGGAAUCGCUAGUAAUCGUGGAUCAGAACGCCACGGUGAAUACGUUCCCGGGUCUUGUACACACCGCCCGUCAUACCAUGGGAGUGGGUUGCACCAGAAGUGGGUAGUCUAACUUAGGAGGACGCUCACCACGGUGUGAUUCAUGACUGGGGUAAAGUCGUAACAAGGUA
rnacentral:rRNA from 1 species